AGUGAACGCUGGCGGCAGGCCUAAUACAUGCAAGUCGAACGGCAGCACAGCAGAGCUUGCUCUGUGGGUGGCGAGUGGCGGACGGGUGAGGAAUACGUGGGAAUCUGCCCAGUCGUGGGGGAUAACGUAGGGAAACUUACGCUAAUACCGCAUGCGCCCUUCGGGGGAAAGCCGGGGACCUUCGGGCCUGGCGCGAUUGGAUGAGCCCACGUCGGAUUAGCUAGUUGGCGGGGUAAAGGCCCACCAAGGCGACGAUCCGUAGCUGGUCUGAGAGGAUGAUCAGCCACACUGGAACUGAGACACGGUCCAGACUCCUACGGGAGGCAGCAGUAGGGAAUAUUGGACAAUGGGCGCAAGCCUGAUCCAGCCAUGCCGCGUGAGUGAAGAAGGCCCUCGGGUUGUAAAGGCUCUUUUGUCCGGAAAGAAAAGCGCCGGGUUAAUACCCUGGUGUCCUGACGGUACCGGAAGAAUAAGCACCGGCUAACUUCGUGCCAGCAGCCGCGGUAAU
rnacentral:rRNA from 1 species